UACGGAGGGAGCUAGCGUUGUUCGGAAUUACUGGGCGUACAGCGCGCGCAGGCGGCUGGGUAUGUGCUGGGUGACAGCCUCGCGCUUAACGCGGGGUGGCCCCGGUAGACAGCCUGGCUAGAGGCAGGGAGAGGGAUGUGGAAUGCCCGGUGGAGCGGUGAAAUGCGUAGAGAUCGGGCGGAACACCAGCGGCGAAGGCGGCAUCCUGGCCCUGACCUGACGCUGAGGCGCGAUAGCGUGGGGAGCAAACGGG
rnacentral:rRNA from 1 species